AUACGGAGGAUCCAAGCGUUAUCCGGAUUUAUUGGGUUUAAAGGGUGCGUAGGCGGACUGGUAAGUCAGCUGUGAAAGUUUGCGGCUUAACCGUAAAAUUGCAGUUGAUACUGUCAGUCUUGAGUGUGCAUGAGGUGGGCGGAAUUUGUGGUGUAGCGGUGAAAUGCUUAGAUAUCACGAGGAACUCCAAUUGCGAAGGCAGCUCACUGGGGCAUAACUGACGCUGAUGGACGAAGGUGUGGGUAUCAAACAGGAUUAGAUACCCUGGUAGUCCACACAGUAAACUAUGAAUACUCGCUGUUUGCGAUAUACAGUAAGCGGCCAAGCGAAAGCAUUAAGUAUUCCACCUGGGGAGUACGCCGGCAACGGUGAAACUCAAAGGAAUUGACGGGG
rnacentral:rRNA from 1 species